rnacentral:rRNA from 1 species
AUGGCGGUCAGGCUCAGAGCGGGAGCACCGGCGGGCGCUCUCCUCUGGGUGGCGUGCCUGGUUCUUGCGACGGCGGCCGCCGUGAGUGGCGCCAGGCCGGUCGCGGUGCGGGAGGAAGGCCGCACUGCGCUUGUGGUGACGGUGGAAUCGCCGGCGGGCGAUGCUAUCCAGACGGUGGUGAGGGCCGUGGGGCACAGGCUAGUGUUCGACAUCGGCAUGCUCCGCGGGAUCAAGCACUCCGGGCCCAGCCCCGGCGACGGGCAUUAA